rnacentral:lncRNA from 1 species
UCUCAGAGCUGAAUGUACUCCUCCAUGUCAUGGCCGUGGUCACGAUGAUAGAGGCAGAACUUGUUAGGGUUGUGCUUCCCGAUGUGUGUGCGCAUCUUUUUCGGCCUCAGUAGCUACUCCCUGACCUCCAUCAGCACUUGAGUUUUCGAUGUGUUGAGAGGGGCAUAGCUGUAGAAUCUCCCUAAGGGAGAGCCCCUCCGAACUCUGUGG